rnacentral:snoRNA from 1 species
GCCAUCCAAGAUGACGAGCUCAUCUCCUACAACAUCCUCGGGUUGGAGGUCGACUACCGGCCCCUCGUCUCCGCCCUCGACGCACGCGUCACGCUGGUCUCCCUCGACGAACUCUACGCCAUGCUGAGCAACUUCGAUC